AACGCAUAUUGCGCUCGAGACUUCGGUCGAGAGCAUGCCUGUCUCAGCGUCGGCUCACCCCUCGCCCACCCUUUCCCCUUCACCGGAGGAGAGGUGCCUGGACGGACGUGGCCGUCUCGCUUCCGAAAGGGAGCGGGUCGGCUGAAGUGCAGGGCCCGCGGCGCGACCCGGACGAGAGGGCGCCAGCAUGGUAGGUGGCUCAACGCUGCAUGCCGCUGUCGCCUUUCAUCUCGGCCCGAAUCAAGGUCGCAUCCAAUCGUCCGCUCGGCCACCAAGCAGGAACGGUCGCCCGCUUCGCAGCAAUGCCGCGAGCGACUUCAACCCUUCGACCUGAGAUCAGACAAGACCACCCGCUGAACUUAA
rnacentral:misc_RNA from 1 species